rnacentral:rRNA from 1 species
GACGAACGCUGGCGGCGUGCUUAACACAUGCGAGUCGAACGGGAUCCGGGCUUUCGGGUUUGGUGAGAGUGGCGAACGGAUGAGUAACACGUGAGUAACCUGCCCCCUUCUUUGGGAUAACGUCGGGAAAUCGGCGCUAAUACUGGAUAUUCUUGCUGCAUCGCAUGGUGUGGUUUGGAAAGGGUUUCUGGUGGGGGAUGGGCUCGCGGCCUAUCAGCUUGUUGGUGGGGUGAUGGCCUACCAAGGCUUUGACGGGUAGCCGGCCUGAGAGGGUGUCCGGCCACACUGGGACUGAGACACGGCCCAGACUCCUACGGGAGGCAGCAGUGGGGAAUAUUGCACAAUGGGCGCAAGCCUGAUGCAGCGACGCCGCGUGAGGGAUGACGGCCUUCGGGUUGUAAACCCCUUUCAGUAUGGAACAAGGAUCCUUCUUUUGGGGGGUUUGAGGGUACGUGCAGAAGAAGCGCCGGCUAACUACGUG